rnacentral:misc_RNA from 1 species
GAUGAAGAACGCAGCGAAAUGCGAUAAGUAAUGUGAAUUGCAGAAUUCAGUGAAUCAUCGAAUCUUUGAACGCACAUUGCGCCCGCUAGUAUUCUGGCGGGCAUGCCUGUCCGAGCGUCAUUUCAACCCUCAAGCCCCCGGGCUUGGUGUUGGGGAUCGGCGAGCCUCCGCGCCCGCCGUCCCCUAAAUCUAGUGGCGGUCUCGCUGUAGCCUCCUCUGCGUAGUAGCACACCUCGCACUGGGAAACAGCGCGGCCACGCCGUUAAACCCCCAACUUCUGAACGUUUGACCUCGGAUCAGGUAGGAAUACCCGCUGAACUUAAGCAUAUCAAUAAGCGGAGGA